rnacentral:rRNA from 1 species
AUCUGUUUAACUGUAGUAGGAAGAAGUGUAUGGUGCACUAACCACAUAAGAUUUGUUUAUGUAUUGGCUCAAAUGUAGUUAGAUAGGGGGCUUAGUGGUUUGUUUUUUAUUUGAAUUGGCGUUUUUUAGGAGUUCACCAUUUAAAAGGGGAUAGGACACAGUGCCAGCAUCCGCGGUUAUUCUGUUUUCUUUACUUUUUUAUAGCAUAGUGUUUAAAAGGUUAAAAAGAAGGUUAAGUGAAAAUUUCUUGUUUUUAUUAUGGGCUUUUAUAAACAGAUAAGUGAUAUAAGAAUAACAGGGAUUAGAAACCCCAUUAAUUUAUCAAUUAUGAUUGUUUAGUAGUAAAACUAAAAUAGUUUGGCAGCGGGUUACUCCUAUUGGGGGAAGGUGCGUGGUAAAGGAUGGUCCGCCUAGUAAUUUACCAUAUUUAUGCUGGUGUAUAUCUAGUGUGAUAUUAGUGCUUUAGUGGUUAAAACUUGUGUAAUAAAUUUGAAGCUAAGUCUAUGUGCUGCGUGAUAUGGUUUAACGUGCGUUACAUUAAUAAGCUAUACGUUGUAAUACUUGUUGAUUGAGGACUCAAAAGUAAAAUUGAUUAAAGUGUCAGUUUGAAGUAGGAUUAACUCGGGUACACACCGCCCGUCAACCUCGGCUUAUGCUGAGGUAAGUCGUAACAUGGUAGCCCCAGAUGAAUCUGGGGCUAAUUAUCUCCUUAACCCGCGGGUUGAUUAUA